rnacentral:rRNA from 1 species
CCUACGGGAGGCAGCAGUGGGGAAUUUUGGACAAUGGGCGAAAGCCUGAUCCAGCAAUGCCGCGUGAGUGAAGAAGGCCUUCGGGUUGUAAAGCUCUUUUGUCAGGGAAGAAACGGUGAGAGCUAAUAUCUCUUGCUAAUGACGGUACCUGAAGAAUAAGCACCGGCUAACUACGUGCCAGCAGCCGCGGUAAUACGUAGGGUGCAAGCGUUAAUCGGAAUUACUGGGCGUAAAGCGUGCGCAGGCGGUUUUGUAAGUCUGUCGUGAAAUCCCCGGGCUCAACCUGGGAAUUGCGAUGGAGACUGCAAGGCUAGAAUCUGGCAGAGGGGGGUAGAAUUCCACGUGUAGCAGUGAAAUGCGUAGAGAUGUGGAGGAACACCGAUGGCGAAGGCAGCCCCCUGGGUCAAGAUUGACGCUCAUGCACGAAAGCGUGGGGAGCAAACAGGAUUAGAUACCCUGGUAGUCCACGCCCUAAACGAUGUCUACUAGUUGUCGGGUUUUAAUUAACUUGGUAACGCAGCUAACGCGUGAAGUAGACCGCCUGGGGAUACGGUCGCAAGNUUAAAACUCAAAAUGAAAUUGACCGGNUGAGAGNGCGAGACGACGACGAGGGAGGAGG